UUGGGUAACACUCUGGUAAGGCUGCUGGGGUGUGCGCCCUGGGGACCCCUACUCUUGGGCAGGGGCAGAGCAGAAGCCUCUGCCCGUCUGUUGCUUUGGUUUCCCGGAUCCUCCUCCAAGGUGGUCUCUCCGCCCACUUCCCGCCCUGCUCCUAGGCCCCUCUUGUGCCCUGCGCCCUGAAGCGCUGCCUGCUCGGGUCCUGCCUCUGUGCUCUUCUCUCCCGGCGCCCUCAGGUCCCGCCAGGCCUGGCUCUCAGAGUCCUCAGAGCACCUUGUCCAGAGGGACCGCAUUCUCCUCAGUAAAGCUACUCCACUCCCACCUUCACGAGGCAGCCAGGCCCCAGGUGCCGUGUCCUUUCACAGCCACAGCAGCUUCUGGAAAAAGAGAACAGGUCUGCUGUUUGUUCACCCUGUAAGUAGAGCAGCGUCCGGGUUACUGCAGGUGCUCUAAAGGUCUGCAGCAAAAAGGUCAUGCUACUGCUGCUGCUACUGCUAAGUCGAUUCAGUCGUGUCCGACUCUGUGUGACCCCAUAGACGGCAGCCCACCAGACUCCUCUGUCCCUGGGAUUCUCCAAGCAAGAAUACUGGAGUGGGUUGCCAUUUCCUCCUCCAAAAAAGGUCAUAUAGUCUUCCUUUUUUGGUGCUACUGGCAACGUUUUUUUAAAAAAGGUUUUGGGCCAGAUGCUGGAGGACCUAGAUCAAAUUCUGUGGCCAUCUGUUGUAGAUGUAAAACCAAGUGCAAUACGGUUUCUCUAAAAAUAGUAUAUUUUCCCAUACAGAAUAAAGGCAUAUGUUUGUCUGAAUCUGGCAGCAUUUCCAGAGAAGCUUUCUUUUCAAGGGGCCAAAGAGAUUAUAGGAAGACAGAAUGCACUUUCAGCUAGCAACUGCUGGAUAAAGUUUCCAUUGAUCGGCUGCCUCUCCCCGGCAUGUGAACAAAUGUAGAGUCACAACAAUAACAGACUUAUCUGGAAUUAGCAGGAACUGAGGCAGGUGUGCAAUGGUCUGGACCCGGAAUAAAAUGAACAGAGGGAAUCCACGGAAAACUAAAUGCUCUGAUACUUUGAUCUACUUCACGUACUUAAUUAUCCUUCCAUUUGUCAGCAGCAAUCGAAGAUCAUUAUCUUUCGCUCUCCAUUCAGGCACUUCAGAAAUGACUGAGUCUCUCAUGUGACCAUGGAACAGAAGCUUGCCUCUUCCCAGGGACACAUCUCCAGUCUUCUGAGCACCUCCCUCGUGUGGAGCUCCAGGAUGUCGAGGUUGGAAGGGGUUCGG